rnacentral:rRNA from 1 species
GACGUAGGGCGCGAGCGUUGUCCGGAUUUAUUGGGCGUAAAGAGCUCGUAGGCGGCUUGUCGCGUCGACUGUGAAAACCCGCGGCUCAACCGCGGGCCUGCAGUCGAUACGGGCAGGCUAGAGUUCGGUAGGGGAGACUGGAAUUCCUGGUGUAGCGGUGAAAUGCGCAGAUAUCAGGAAGAACACCCGUGGCGAAGGCGGCUCUCUGGGACGGUACUGACGCUGAGACGCGAAAGCGUGGGUAGCAAACAGG